rnacentral:ncRNA from 1 species
CGGGGGAACGCAGGCUCCCCGGCAGGCGGCCAUACCGUCCAAGUUCUGC